rnacentral:lncRNA from 1 species
UUAUUUACAAUUUUAUGGUUUGAAUGGAUAAACCCAUUGCCUACGUACCAUCACAAAGGUAGGAUCAAAACCUCGUAGUUCGGGGUAAAAAUCUCAAAAUAUGGGUGAAUUGAUUUGUCAAAAGCCUUAAAGUCUUUUGUUAUCAAAGGGAGAAAACUCAAUCUAAACCAACAAUCCACCGUGUGAGGAGAGCUUCAACAUACUAGUGAGGGAUCCACCCUAUAAUAAGUAUGGAAGACUUAUAGUCCAAUCACCGAGGAUAAGGUGAGGUUUACAUCAACCAGUAUGAUAACUCAAACCUAUGGCUAAUGUUUAUGAAAAAAGGUUUUAAC